UACGGGGGGGGCAAGCGUUGUUCGGAAUUACUGGGCGUAAAGGGCGCGUAGGCGGCUCGCUAAGUCGGGUGUGAAAACUCUGGGCUCAACCCAGAGCCUGCAUUCGAAACUGUCGAGCUAGAGUUCUGGAGGGGAAAGCGGAAUUCCUGGUGUAGCGGUGAAAUGCGUAGAUAUCAGGAGGAACACCGGUGGCGAAGGCGGCUUUCUGGACAGAAACUGACGCUGAGGCGCGAAAGCUAGGGGAGCAAACAGG
rnacentral:rRNA from 1 species